AAAGAGCAAGUAGCGCGUUCCAGUGACUAUCUCGAUGGGCAAUUGACCUUUCGGGAGCGUCUGAUGGUGCGUCAUCACUUGAUGUUUUGCCCGAACUGCCGGCGCUUUAUCCGUCAGAUGCGCCUGAUGCAGGCAACGCUCAAGCGUAUGCCGCAGGAGCCGGUGGAGGGGGUUGAUGCUCUGGCCGAACAACUGGCCGCCGAGCGCCGUAAAGACAUCAUGUAGGAGCGAGCUUGCUCGCGAAGAA
rnacentral:sRNA from 1 species